ACACAAAUAAAAGCAACAGAGGAGUUAAGCACGCUCACCGGCUUUAGCAAAUAAAAAUUCGACAUGCCUGGUUAAAUCUAAAUUUCAGAUAAACAAUGAAUUAUCUGUUCGUAGGUAGACAUGAUUAGAAAAAGCAGUUACAGUAGCAGACUUGGAUGCCGGAGUGUGGACUUCAUGGAUUGUGAACAGAUCUUCUCUGGCUGUGGUGUGCUUCCCCCUCCUCUUUGUAAUGCCGGUCGUCAUGAAUAAAUGACUCGGGAUGGAACUCCA